GUGCCAGCCGCCGCGGUAAUACAGAGGGUGCAAGCGUUGUUCGGAUUUACUGGGCGUAAAGCGUACGCAGACGGCUUGGUAGGUCGGAUGUGAAAGCCCCGGGCUCAACCCGGGAAUUGCAUCCGAAACCACCUCGCUCGAGUGUGGGAGAGGGAAGCGGAAUUCCUGGUGUAGAGGUGAAAUUCGUAGAUAUCAGGAGGAACACCGGCGGCGAAGGCGGCUUCCUGGCCCAUUACUGACGUUCAGGUACGAAAGCGUGGGUAGCAAACAGGAUUAGAAACCCGCGUAGUCC
rnacentral:rRNA from 1 species